rnacentral:rRNA from 1 species
AUACGUAGGGGGCAAGCGUUAUCCGGAUUUACUGGGUGUAAAGGGAGCGCAGGUGGCAGUACAAGUCAGAAGUGAAACCCCUCGGCUUAACUGAGGGCAUGCUUUUGAAACUGUACAGCUGGAGUGCUGGAGGGGUAAGCGGAAUUCCUGGUGUAGCGGUGAAAUGCGUAGAUAUCAGGAAGAACACCGGUGGCGAAGGCGGCUUACUGGACAGCAACUGACACUGAGGCUCGAAGGCGUGGGGAGCAAACAGGAUUAGAUACCCUGGUAGUCCACGCGGUAAACGAUGAAUACUAGGUGUCGGGGGUCAAAGAUCCUCGGUGCCGCAGCCAACGCAAUAAGUAUUCCACCUGGGGAGUACGGUCGCAAGAAUAAAACUCAAAGGAAUUGACGGGG